UACGUAGGGAGCGAGCGUUGUCCGGAUUUACUGGGUGUAAAGGGUGCGUAGGCGGGAGAUCAAGUCAGUAGUGAAAUCCAUGGGCUUAACUCAUGGCGUGCUAUUGAAACUGAUUUUCUUGAGUGAGUCAGAGGCAGGCGGAAUUCCCGGUGUAGCGGUGAAAUGCAUAGAGAUCGGGAGGAACACCAGUGGCGAAGGCGGCCUGCUGGGGCUUAACUGACGCUGAGGCACGAAAGCGUGGGGAGCAA
rnacentral:rRNA from 1 species